UUCACAAAUUUUUUGAUAUUCCUCCCUUUAAUGGAGGGGAACUAAUUUCCUUUCCAUUGCAUAUAGGCUGGAGUGGACUUGGUGAAUCUCUUCUCAUAAAAAGAGUAUAAUGGAAGUGACAGUGUAAGACUUUGAAGCCUGGGCAUAAAGGGCACUGUGAUUUCCUGCUUAUUCUCUCUCUCUCUCUUUCUCUCUCUCGCUUUCUUUUUGUGUUUCUCUCACACAUGAUUCAUUGUGGGAAAGCUAGCUGCCAUGUGGCAAGAAACCAAGGCCUCCUGCAAACAGGCAUGUGUGUGAGCCAUCCAAUGGUGGCUCCUUCAGCCCCAGUCAGACCUUCAGAUGAGACAACAGCAUCUGCCAGCAUCAUAACCUCCACCUUAUGAGAGACUCUGAGCUAGAGCUACCCAGAAACCCAACUAGCCUUAAGUAGGCACGGUUUUCCAAGUCCUGGCCACUGGUGUCCCUAAGAGAUUUCAGGGAGAAGCAGUUUUGGCAGAGCGUUAGAGCCAGAGGCUGGCCAGUGAAGGGAACAAUGUCUGGGUUUUGAGAACAGCUGGAGCUUUGGAGGGAGAAAAGCAGCUUGGCGAAUGAGGAAAGAAUGUGCUUGUCACUUCAAGAGGCGAGAAACUUCGAUUUCCCUCCUGACGCUGCCAACAAGUUUCAUUGGAAAGGACAGAGUGGUGGUGAUGGCAGAGCUCCAAGACUGGAAUUAGUACUUCUGGAGAAAAAAACAUUUUCAUGUGGUCUCUUGUCACUGCUGACAGUGAAGUUCCUGGCCUGGCCACUUUCGUCGAACCACUUCAGACGUGGUGGCUUCCUCCACAUCCAAACUCUGUGAAAGUGUCUCUUAGGGCUGUUGUUCUUAGAAGAGUGUGAGCGAAGCAGGAACUUGGAAUUUCGUACUCUUUUUCCAGCACAAGUAUGAAGAAAUGAACUAGACGUGAAUAAGUCUGUGAAAAGAAGUCAGUGAACUUCAGGGAAUAUCCUGUGAGCAUCAUCUUCUUUUUCAGCAGCAUUAAGAGCAUCUCCAGUGGGUUCACAUAUAUUUUUUGAGUGUCUGUUUUCUGUUAAUCAUGGUGAGAACAUUAAGAAUAAUUUUAGAAAUUGGAAACAUUCUUAACUCUGAGAGAUCAUUACUUUGCUCUGCUGUGGUUACAAAUACAGUAAGUUCAACAUAAACACAGCUUAAGAAGUGUCUCAACCACUUCAGAAAUGUAGAAGUAUUUUUUAUAAUCUAGAGUAUUUAAUUAAUCAAAACUUCUAUUGCCCUAGUAUUCUGAUUAAUCAAUAUUUUCAUUUGUGAGUUUCAGAUGAAGAAUUAUUUGCACAAUGACAUAUCUGGGUUUUUUAAUACACUUUCUUCUGAAUCUUUCUUUAGUGUGAUGUGAGGUAUACAUGAGAAAUGUGCAUUUAAAUAGUCACAGUAAUGAUUGUAAUGAAUUCCAAGUGAGGACCGCAUGCUCUAAUUCCCAUGAAUUGAGGGGUAAUAUUUUUAUGUUAUCGUUUUCUAUAAUAAAACCUAAAACCAG